rnacentral:rRNA from 1 species
GUUUGAUUAUAGCUCCGGAUCAGACGCUGGCGGAUCCUUUGUUUACAUGCAAGUCGAACGGCAGCGGACUUCGGUCUGGUGGCGAGUGGCGAACGGGUGAGUAAUGUAUCGGAACGUGCCUAGUAGCGGGGGAUAACUACGCGAAAGCGUAGCUAAUACCACAUACGCCCUUCGGGGAAAGCGGGGGACCUUCGGGCCUCGCACUAAUGGAAGCGGCCGAUAUCGGAUUAGCUGGUGGUGGGGUAACGGCUCACCAAGGCGAUCCGUAGCUGGUUUGAGAGGACGACCAGCCACACUGGGACUGAGACCUGGCCCAGGCUCUGAGGAGGCAGCGGUGAAAUUUUGGACAAUGGGGAAACCCUGAUCCAGCCAUCCGCACGUGUGCGAUGGAAGGCCUUCGGGUUGCCAAGCACUUUUGGCAGGAAAGAAAACGGCUGGAUAAUACGUGCAACUGACGGCUCACCUGCAGAAUAAGCACCGGCUAACUACGUGCCAGCAGCCGCGUGUGCGGGUGCAAGCGUUAAUCGGAAUUACUGGGCGCUGCAAAGCGUUAGCGUUGGUUCGGAAGAAGAUGUGAAAUCCCGGAAGCGCUUUGGAACUGCAUUUUACUUCUGACAGAGUGUGUCAGAGGAGGUGGAAUUCCGCGUGUAGCAGUGAAAUGCGCCAGAUGCGGAGGAACACCGAUAGCAGCCUCCUGGGAUAACAUGACGCUCAUGCGAAAGCGUGGGAGCAAACAGGAUUAGAUACCCUGACUGGUCCACCUAAACGAUGUCAACUAGCUGUUGGGGCCUUCGGGCCUUGGUAGCGCAGCUACUAACGGCGUGAGAUGACCGCCGCAAGGGGAGUACGGUCGCAAGAUUAAAACUCAAAAGGAAUUGACGGGGACCCGCACAAGCGGUGGAUGAUGUGGUUAAUUCAGUGCAACACGAAAAACUGCCUACCCUUGACAUGUCUGGAAUCCCGAAGAGAUUUGGGAGUGCUCGCAAGAGAACCGGAACUACGGAAUUGCUGCAUAGCUGUCGUCAGCUCGUGUCGUGAGAUGUUGGGUUAAGUCCCGCAACAGGCGCAACCCUUGUCAUUAGUUGCUACGAAAGAGGCACUCUAAUGAGACUGCCGACAAAACCGGAGGAAGGUGGGGAUGACGUCAAGUCCUCAUGGCCCUUAUGGGUAGGAGCUUCACGCGUCAUACAAUGGUCGGGACGGGGUCGCCAACCCGCGAGAGGGAGCCAAUCCUGACCCGAUCGUAGUCUGGAUCGCAGUCGCUCGACUGCGUGAAGUCAGAUCGCUAAUGAUCGCGGAUCAGCAUGUCGCGGUGAAUACACGUUCCCGGGUCUUAUCACCACCGCCCGUCACACCAUGGGAGUGGGUUUUACCGAAGUAGUUAGCCUAACCGUGGGAGGCGAUUACCACGGUAGGAUUCAUGACUGGGGGUGAUCAUCGACAAGGUAG